rnacentral:lncRNA from 1 species
AUAUAACCUACACUUUUUAACAAAAUCUUUGAAAUAUACAUGAUGUAUAAAUCCAGUAUAUCUAUAAUUGUUCUUUUUUUAGUAUGUGACCAAGGUAAGAAAUUAAAAUAGUACCUUUAUUUCAUGAAUCAGACAAAAGUUAUCAAGCAGUAUUAUGAGGGUGAAUAACUAUUUUGUUUAUUAAUACAUGGAAAGGAUUGAAGAACACUAUUUAACUUUCACAUUCGAGACAAGAACAUAAUAAUGUGCUCUGAUUAAUAUUUAUAUAUAUGAUAAAUAUUGACGAACAUAAUGAAUUUUUCAAAAUGAUAUUCCUUUUGAUAAAUAUAAAUCACUAUGUGAACUGAACAUCGUAGUAUCGUAACUCUCUAUCAUAGACUAUUCACAGAACUGUCUUAACUCAAUUGCAGCUUUAACAUAGAACUGUCUUAACUCAAUUGCAGGUUUUUCCGGAUUCAUUAUUUGUGAAAGGCAGUUAGCAUAUAUUCAUUGUAGAUGGCCAACACCACGCAUCCAAAUUAACCAAGCUAUCUACGGACGAAAUGCUGGUCAAAGUGUUUGUCCACACUCUGACAUAUCGAAUCGUCAUUGUAGAUCUUCAACAUCGGACCGUAUAGUAAAACAGAUGUGCAAUGGGAGAAGUCUAUGUAAAAUAAAAGCUAAUAAUCAACAGUUUGGAGAUCCCUGCUAUGGCACGCACAAAUACUUGGAAGUAGAAUACCAAUGUAAAUAAAUAUUAAUGUCAAAGUG